rnacentral:rRNA from 1 species
UACCAGCCCCCUGAGUGGUAGGGACGAUUAUUUGGCCUAAAGCGUCCGUAGCCGGCUUGGCAAGUCUUUCGUUAAAUCCGACGAUUUAAUCGCCGGGCCGCGGAAGAUACUACUAGGCUUGAGGACGGGAGAGGUUGACGGUAGUCCCAGGGUAGGGGUGAAAUCCUAUAAUCCUGGGAGGACCACCAGUGGCGAAGGCGGUCGACUAGAACGUGCCUGACGGUGAUGGACGAAAGCUGGGGGAGCGAACCGGAUUAGACACCCGGGUAGUCCCAGCUGUAAACGAUGCGGGCUAGGUGUUGGGGUAGCUACGAGCUACUCCAGUGCCGCAGAGAAGUCGUUAAGCCCGCCGCCUGGGAAGUACGGCCGCAAGGCUGAAACUCAAAUGAAUUGACGG